rnacentral:rRNA from 1 species
ACACGACUACAUUAGAUACCCGUGUAGUCCUAGCCGUAAACGAUACUCGCUAGGUGUCGGCCACGGUGCGACCGUUGUCGGUGCCGUAGGGAAGGCCGUGAAGCGAGCCACCUGGAAGUACGGCCGCAAGGCUGAAACUUAAAGGAAUUGGCGGGGAGCACCACAAGAGGUGGAGGCUGCGGUUCAAUUGGACUCAACGCAGGAAACUCAUCGGGAGCGACAGCAGUAUGAUUGCCAGGUUGAUGACCUUGCUUGACAAGCUG